CCUACGGGAGGCAGCAGUGGGGAAUUUUGGACAAUGGGCGCAAGCCUGAUCCAGCUAUGCCGCGUGUGUGAAGACGGCCUUCGGGUUGUAAACCACUUUUGUCGAGGACGAAAGGUCUAUGGAUAAUACCGAUAGAUGAUGACGGUACUCUCAGAAUAAGCACCGGCUAACUCCGUGCCAGCAGCCGCGGUAAUACGUAGGGUGCGAGCGUUAAUCGGAAUUACUGGGCGUAAAGCGUGUGCAGGCGGUUUGUCAAGUUGGAUGUGAAAGCCCCGGGCUUAACCUGGGAAAGGCAUACGUGACUGGCAGACUAGAGUGCUUCAGAGGGGGGUGGAAUUCCAAGUGUAGCAGUGAAAUGCGUAGAUAUUUGGAAGAACACCGAUGGCGAAGGCAGCCCCCUGGGA
rnacentral:rRNA from 1 species